GGGUGCGAUCAUACCAGCACUAAUUCACCGGAUCCCAUCAGAACUCCGAAGUUAAACAUGCUUGGGCGAGAGUUGUACUAAGAUGGGUGACCUCUUGGGAAGUUCUCGUGUUGCACCCC
rnacentral:rRNA from 1 species